rnacentral:lncRNA from 1 species
GACAAAAUCACUUUCUAAUGUGUUUCUCUCAGCACCAUUAGGCAAUGCGUGACUUGGUUUAGUUUCUAUUUUCCUCAGAAUUGCUUCAAAGGGACAGGCUGGCUGUGCUGCCUGUUGGCCUUGAACUGAGAAGCCUGGUGUGGGUUCAGGUGUUUCUCCUGCUCCAGCCUCCCAAGUAGUUUGAACUAUAAAAGCAUGCCCUCACCAUUAGAAGCUCUGAUCUUCAACUAAGAAAACACCAUGUCCUCCGGGUUCCUGUUACUGCAGACAGCAGGGAUUUCUGCUUCUUAGAGGCUGACUUUACACAAUUCCAGGGAACCUGACCUGAUGCUUUCUUCUGGCUUUCAUAGGCACAGGUCACAGUCCAUCAAGGAAUGGAGCCAAGACAGGAACCUGGAGGCAGUAACUGAAGCAGAUGCCAUGAAAGAACUUGGCUUACUGGCUUGUUCCCAGGCUCAUAUUCAGCAACCUUUCUUACAUGCCCAGAUUUGCUUGCCUAGGGAUGGAGCCACUCAUGGUGGGCUAGGCCUUCUCAUACUAAUUAACAAUCAAAAAGAUGGCCACAACAUGACCAGAAGCCAAUUUUAUCCAUUGCAGAUGAUUAGUCUUGAUUGUUGAGGACAAAAUGUAGAAUUAUUUUACACUCCACUCUGAUUGUCUCUUGGCAAUUAAGUCUUUCAAAUGAUCCAGUUUCUAGUCCCCAUUUUCUGGAUGUCCACUUAGUUGAUCACCUGUAACCAUCAUUUUACAUGUGUGUUUCUAUCCACAAUGAAAUGUGACAUCUGGGCUGAUGAGAUGGCUCAGUGGUUAAGAGCACUGGCUACUCUUCCAGAGGUCCUGAGUUCAAUUCCCAGCAACCACAUAGUGGCUCACAACCAUCUUCAAUGAGAUCCAGUGCCCUCUUCUGGUAUGUCUGAAGAGAGCAACAGUAUACUCACAUACAU